rnacentral:rRNA from 1 species
UACGUAGGUGGCAAGCGUUGUCCGGAUUUACUGGGCGUAAAGAGCGCGCAGGCGGUCGUCCAAGUCGCGUGUGAAAGCCCCCGGCUCAACUGGGGAGGGUCACGCGAUACUGGUCGACUCGAAGGCAGGAGAGGGUAGUGGAAUUCCCGGUGUAGUGGUGAAAUGCGUAGAUAUCGGGAGGAACACCAGUGGCGAAGGCGCGAUUCUGGCCGAAUCCUGACGCUGAGGCGCGAAAGCUAGGGGAGCAAACGGG